rnacentral:rRNA from 1 species
UACGUAGGGUGCGAGCGUUGUCCGGAAUUAUUGGGCGUAAAGAGCUCGUAGGCGGCUUGUCGCGUCGGAUGUGAAAGCCCGGGGCUUAACUCCGGGUCUGCAUUCGAUACGGGCAGGCUAGAGUUCGGUAGGGGAGAUCGGAAUUCCUGGUGUAGCGGUGAAAUGCGCAGAUAUCGGGAGGAACACCGGUGGCGAAGGCGGAUCUCUGGGCCGAUACUGACGCUGAGGAGCGAAAGCGUGGGGAGCGAACAGG